rnacentral:rRNA from 1 species
CGAACGCUGGCGGCGUGCUUAACACAUGCAAGUCGAGCGAGAAAGGGGGGGCAACCCCCUGAGUAGAGCGGCGCACGGGUGAGUAACGCGUGGGUAACCUACCCCCAGGCGGGGGAUAACCACUCGAAAGGGUGGCUAAUACCGCAUGAGACCACGGGAUCUUCGGAUCCUGAGGCUAAAGAUUGCACCGGCUUGCCGGUGCCGUCACCAGGGGAUGGGCCUGCGUUCCAUUAGCUUGUUGGUAAGGUAACGGCUUACCAAGGCGACGAUGGAUAGCUGAUCUGAGAGGGUGAUCAGCCACACUGGGACUGAGAUACGGCCCAGACUCCUACGGGAGGCAGCAGUAAGGGAUAUUGCACAAUGGGCGCCAGCCUGAUGCAGCAACGCCGCGUGGAGGAUGACGGCCUUCGGGUUGUAAACUCCUUUUCUGGGGGACGAGCAAGGACGGUACCCCAGGAAUAAGUCUCGGCUAACUACGUGCCAGCCGCCGCGGUAAUAC